GAUGAACGCUGGCGGCGUGCUUAACACAUGCAAGUCGAACGGUGAAGGUGGGAGCUUGCUCCUGCUGGAUCAGUGGCGAACGGGUGAGUAACACGUGAGUAACCUGCCCCGGACUCUGGGAUAAGCGUUGGAAACGACGUCUAAUACCGGAUACGAGACAAGAAGGCAUCUUCAUCGUCUGGAAAGAUUUUUUGGUCUGGGAUGGACUCGCGGCCUAUCAGGUUGUUGGUGAGGUAAUGGCUCACCAAGCCUACGACGGGUAGCCGGCCUGAGAGGGUGACCGGGCACACUGGGACUGAGACACGGCCCAGACUUCUCCGGGAGGCAGAAGGGGGGAAUAUUGCACAAUGGGCGAAAACCUGAUGCAGCAACGCCGCGUGAGGGACGACGGCCUUCGUGUUGUAAACCUCUUUUAGUAGGGAAGAAGCGAAAGUGACGGUACCUGCAGAAAAAGCACCGGCUAACUACGUGCCAGCCGCCGCGGAAA
rnacentral:rRNA from 1 species